rnacentral:misc_RNA from 1 species
GUUUUAUUAUAUAGCCUUUCGGCCUAAUGAACAUUCGAUUAUCAGAGUUUGUUUUUAAAAGGAGGGGGAGAGAAAUAACCCCGGUCUAGGACCGAAAUCAAGCCUUCCCCCCUCAGAGUGCACAGGUGUUGAAUGGAUUAAGGGAGAAUGAGCACUUGCUUUCGCCAGCUCAACUCUCCCAAGUUUCAUUAAUGAUCCUUCCGCAGGUUCACCUACGGAAA